CCUACGGGGGGCAGCAGUGGGGAAUAUUGCACAAUGGGGGAAACCCUGAUGCAGCGACGCCGCGUGAGUGAAGAAGUUUUUCGGUAUGUAAAGCUCUAUCAGCAGGGAAGAAAAUUACGGUACCUGACUAACAAGCCCCGGCCAACUACGUGCCAGCAGCCGCGGUAAUACGGAGGGGGCAAGCGUUAGCCGGAUUUACUGGGUGUAAAGGGAGCGGAGGCGGCAAGGUAAGUCAGAAGUGAAAGCCCGCGGCUCAACUGCGGGACUGCUUUUGGAACUAUCAAACUAGAUUGCGGGAGAGGUUAGUGGAAUUCCUGGUGUAGCAGUGAAAGGCGUAGAUAUCAGGAGGAACAGCAGUGGCGAAGGCGACUUACUGGAAUGUAACUGACGUUGAGGAUCGAAAGCGUGGGGAGCAAACAGGAUUAGAUACCCUGGUAGUC
rnacentral:rRNA from 1 species